GACGAACGCUGGCGGCGUGCUUAAUACAUGCAAGUCAACUGAACUUAGGAUAGCAAUAUUUUAAGGGAGGUGGCGCACGGGUGAGUAACACGUAGGUAAUCUGCCUUUAGGUCUGACAUAACCUACCGAAAGGUAGGCUAAAAUCAGAUGAUGCAGCGGCUCGACAUCGAGACAGUUGUUAAAUCUUCGGGGCCUAAAGAUGAGCCUGCGUCUGAUUAGGUAGUUGGCGGAGUAAUAGCCCACCAAGCCUGCGAUCAGUAGCUGGUCUGAGAGGAUGAUCAGCCACACUGGAACUGAGACACGGUCCAGACUCCUACGGGAGGCAGCAGUAAGGAAUAUUGCUCAAUGGCCGAAAGGCUGAAGCAGCAACGCCGCGUGGAGGACGAAAGUACUUUUGUAUGUAAACUCCUGUAAAGAAGGGAAAAAUAUAGCAGUUUUCUGCAUUGAUUGU
rnacentral:rRNA from 1 species